GAGAAAUGGCUGAGUGGUUAAAAGCGGCAGACUGUAAAUUUGUUGAAGUAAUUUCUACGU
rnacentral:tRNA from 18 species